rnacentral:rRNA from 1 species
AUGGACAACCAAAAGUUUGAACUGGUGGAAAGGGCUACGCAAUCGACAUACACACUUCAACACCCCCUUUCACGUGUGAUGCGGAAAGUCAACACGUGGAUAGACUCAGAGGUAUGGCUCAAGAGGCCAAUAAGUGGACACAAAGGAGGGAACAAUAAUUUUUGGGAAAACUUUGUUUUUGCCACUCUAGUUUUUGCCCACUUUGCUUAUGCCACUCUAGAAUUUGACAUUUCACUUUUGCCACUCUUAUCUUUUGACAAUAUAUCACUUUUGCCAUUCAGUGGCAAAAGCAAAAAUUUCAGAGUGGCAAUUGUGAUACAUUGUCCAAAGCUAAGAGCGGCAAAAGUGAAAUGA